rnacentral:rRNA from 1 species
GACUAACGCUGGCGGCGUGCUUAACACAUGCAAGUCGAACGGAAAGGCCCUGCUUUUGUGGGGUGCUCGAGUGGCGAACGGGUGAGUAACACGUGAGUAACCUGCCCUUGACUUUGGGAUAACUUCAGGAAACUGGGGCUAAUACCGGAUAGGAGCUCCUGCUGCAUGGUGGGGGUUGGAAAGUUUCGGCGGUUGGGGAUGGACUCGCGGCUUAUCAGCUUGUUGGUGGGGUAGUGGCUUACCAAGGCUUUGACGGGUAGCCGGCCUGAGAGGGUGACCGGCCACAUUGGGACUGAGAUACGGCCCAUACUCCUACGGGAGGCAGCAGUGGGGAAUAUUGCACAAUGGGCGGAAGCCUGAUGCAUCAUCGCCGCGUGCGGGAUGACGGCCUUCGGGUUGUGAAACCGCUUUCGCCUGUGACGAAUCGUGAGUGACGGUAAUGGGUAAAGAAGCCCCUGCUAACUUACGUGCCAUCAGCCCGCGGUGAUACUUACGGUGCGAGCGUUGUCCGGAUUUUAUUGGGCUUAAAGGGCUCUGUAAGUGGUUGAUCGCCUUGGAAGUGUAAUCUUGGGGCUUAACCCCUGAGCGUGCUUUCGAUAACGGGUUGACUUGAGGAAGGUAGGGGAGGAAUGGAAUUCCCUGGUGGAGCGGUGGAAUGCGCAGAUAUCAGGAGGAACACCAGUGGCGAAGGCGGUUCUCUGGGCCUUUCCUGACGCUGAGGAGCGAAAGCGUGGGGAGCGAACAGGCUUAGAUACCCUGGUAGUCCACGCUGUAAACGGUGGGUACUAGGUGUGGGGUCCAUUCCACGGGUUCCGUGCCGUAGCUAACGCUUUAAGUACCCCGCCUGGGGAGUACGGCCGCAAGGCUAAAACUCAAAGGAAUUGACGGGGCCCCGCACAAGCGGCGGAGCAUGCGGAUUAAUUCGAUGCAACGCGUAGAACCUUACCUGGGUUUGACAUGGAUCGGGAGUGCUCAGAGAUGGGUGUGCCUCUUUUGGUGUCGGUUCACAGGUGGUGCAUGCCUGUCGUCAGCUCGUGUCGUGAGAUGUUGGGUUAAGUCCCGCAACGAGCGCAACCCUUGUUCACUGUUGCCAGCACGUUAUGGUGGGGACUCAGUGGAGACCGCCGGGGUCAACUCGGAGGAAGGUGGGGAUGACGUCAAGUCAUCAUGCCCCUUAUGUCCAGGGCUUCACGCAUGCUACAAUGGCUGGUACAGAGAGUGGCGAGCCUGUGAGGGUGAGCGAAUCUCGGAAAGCCGGUCUCAGUUCGGAUUGGGGUCUGCAACUCGACCUCAUGAAGUCGGAGUCGCUAGUAAUCGCAGAUCAGCAACGCUGCGGUGAAUACGUUCCCGGGGCU